UUGGAGUGGCCUUAUAGUGUGAGCAGCACAAUAACAUCAGCUAUCCAGUCACCAUGCCUGGACGAGGAGUGCUGGAGUCUGACUUGCAAGAAAUAUGCAAGAGGACUGGCCAACUGUUGCUGCUAGGGGAGGGUGAUAGUGAGGGGGUGGUGGUGUGUCGGUGUGGAGCAAGUGGUGUGGGCGUAAGGCUAGUGUGUGUGUGUGCCCACUGUGGGGAGAAGGUGUGUGGAGUGAAUGGAUGCCUUAGACAGUGUCAAGUCUGUCAAGAGAAGCUGUGUCAUCUCUGCACUAUUUAGACUACUCACAGAGAUACACACAAGCCAUCUGUUUGAACUGUCUCUCAGGACACAACUGACUCUUCAUCAUUAUAUAUAGCUACCCAUGAGUAGAACAUUUCUUCUUGCUUAUGAAUACGUGUAUAUAAUGGUGAAUUGGUGACUACCCGCACAUGCUAUUAUGAAACACAUUUGUAUCAGUGUUAUAAUUAUACGA